AGGUCACCAUGUACAUAGAAAAAAGGGCUGAGUUUCUGUCAUCUGGCAAGAAUAUCCAAUAAGCAUGCUGUUUUUCUCCAAAGAACACAUGAAAUAAGUGACAAAGAAAGAACGCAAGUGUAGAAAUAACAGCAAUAGCAACAACAACCACAGCAAAACCUGCUAUACCUCCAGGGACUGCUGGAUGAGUCAAAGAGGAAAAUCUGGACACAGACAGGGAGGACAUCACACCAUACAACCACAGAGGAAGAAUCUGGAGUGAUACAUGUACAAAGCAAGGAGUUCUGAAGAUGACUACCGCCACCAGGAAGAGCUACACCAGUGUUCCAGGACUCUACAGAGCCUGUGAUUGCUGUAGAGUUGGAACCGUCUGUCUUUGAGGCACCCAUUCUGUUAAGUGAUCUCUCUGAAGACAAAGCAAAGGUCAUAACUGUAUCACCACCAAAGCCUGCUGCCCCCAAGUCCUUUCCUGCAGGCAGGUUUCAGACCCCAUCCUUAUGCUCCUCUGGAGACAGGACUCUGAUAUUUUUGAGGUCAGAGCUGUCUGAAGAUGGGGAAAGUGGAGAUAAAGUGGGUUUCCCACUGGUGGAAGAGAGUUGGUUCCCUGAACGAGGUAUGUGGCCCUGUGGUAUGAAGCGGUUUGCUUCUCCCUACCCUGGCAGCACUCUGAAUGUUGGAGGACCUCCAAGUGAGCAGCCUAAGGGGCCUGUGCUGCCAGCCUUGCAGAAUUUCCCCAGCAAAACAUUGGUAAGGAAGGAGAAGGGCCAUGGAAGUCUCCAAGGUGAGUCCGUGAGAUUCUCAGUGGUAAUCCAGGCUACACCAACGUCCUGUUCACAAAAUGCCUUUCCCUGUGUCCAAGCCCUGUGUCCUACUUUGGACCUGUGCAUAGGCUCUCAGAGCGAAGAAGGGUACAGAAUCCAUGGGAAUGAAUGAGGCUGAAUAUCUCAGCAAUACAGCAGAAUGAGACCUCAGAAUUAAGAUCAAGUUGAUUAAUAGAAAAUUAAGAAAUAAAAUAAUCCUUGAAUACUUGAAUCUAAGGAUAGAAAUUCAGAUCCAGUUUAGGUGUAUGUAAUGAGAGGAAAUCAUGAUGAAGGCUGAAUUGAAGGAACUGAAUAUAAAUAACAAGAAUCAGAAACUUCUAGGAAGAGACAGCUGAAAUGGAGGGAGUAGUCCGCUGUGCUCUCUGUGGCGUAAAGAUUACAAUUAAGGAAGGCAAUGGGCCCUAUAGGGAUGGGAAAUCUUUGAGAUGACAGGGAGUGUAUGGUAAGGGACUGAGAUAAGAAUGAGAAGUGAAACUGGAGUAGAUGCCACUCUAGAAGCUUAUUAGUGAAGAGGAAGGAAUAGGAUUUUUUUGAAGAUAUUUUAUUUAGGGCUAGAAGACAUGUGAGGAUAUGUCCUGAAAUAAAGAGAGAAAAAUGGAGAGUGUGAAUAAGAAAGAGGAAGUAACUGACAUAAGGGUAUGCCUGCGCUAUGGUCACCAGGAUUCACUAAAGAGUGACUAGCCCUGUGGGGAGACAGGCAGCUCCUCUGAUCCCACAGGAGGGAUUAUUGCAUAGAUGCUGAAAGAAGGAGUCUAGAAGUAUAGAGGAGGACACUAGGGAAGUACACAGUGGAUGGCCUUGAUCUCAGCAAGGCACAUAGUGAGACCUGUGUCUUCCCUUAAAGAACUUGGGAAUAAGAACAAUGUUUUAGAAUCAGGAAAGAGAAGAAGGCAAUAAGGAAUCUUCAAGGUUGAAUAAUAGUACAAUAAUAAUGAA